CACUCUAGAGAGACUGCCAGGGAUAACCUGGAGGAAGGUGGGGAUGACGUCAAAUCAUCAUGCCCCUUAUGCUUAGGGCUACACACGUGCUACAAUGGGUAGUACAGAGGGAUGCCAAGCCGUAAGGUGGAGCUAAUCCCUUAAAGCUACUCUCAGUUCGGAUUGUAGGCUGAAACUCGCCUACAUGAAGCGGGAGUUACUAGUAAUCGCAGAUCAGAAUGCUGCGGGGAAUGCGUUCCCGGGUCUUGUACACACCGCCCGUCACACCACGGGAGUUGGAGACGCCCGAAGCCGACUAUCUAACCUUUUGGAAGAAGUCGUCGAAGGUGGAAUCAAUAACUGGGGUGAAGUCGUA
rnacentral:rRNA from 1 species